rnacentral:misc_RNA from 1 species
UCCGAGUUGACCCCGGCAGUCUCCUAUGAGUCCCCGGCAUUAUCCGCUGGCAACAUAGAACGAGGGUUGCGCUCGUUGCGGGACUUAACCCAACAUCUCACGACACGAGCUGACGACAACCAUGCACCACCUGUACAGGGCCCUUGCGGACCUGCCAUCUCUGACAGUUUUCCCUGUAUGUCAAGCCUUGGUAAGGUUCUUCGCGUUGCAUCGAAUUAAUCCGCAUGCUCCGCCGCUUGUGCGGGCCCCCGUCAAUUCCUUUGAGUUUUAGCCUUGCGGCCGUACUCCCCAGGCGGGGCGCUUAAUGCGUUAGCUGCGGCACGGAACUCGUGGAAUGAGCCCCACACCUAGCGCCCAACGUUUACGGCAUGGACUAC